rnacentral:rRNA from 1 species
GCAAGUCGAGCGGUAACAGAAAGUAGCUUGCUACUUUGCUGACGAGCGGCGGACGGGUGAGUAAUGCCUAGGUAUCUGCCCAGUCGAGGGGGAUAACAGUUGGAAACGACUGCUAAUACCGCAUACGCCCUACGGGGGAAAGGAGGGGAACUUCGGGCCUCUCGCGUCAGGAUAUGCCUAGGUGGGAUUAGCUAGUUGGUGAGGUAAUGGCUCACCAAGGCGACGAUCCCUAGCUGGUCUGAGAGGAUGAUC